UACGUAGGAGGCGAGCGUUGUCCGGAAUUACUGGGCGUAAAGCGCGCGCAGGCGGCCGCGCAGGUCGCGCCGUGAAAGCGCCCGGCUCAACCGGGCGUCGGCGGGCGAAACCGCGCGGCUGGAGGGCGGUAGAGGGCGGUGGAAUUCCGGGUGUAGUGGUGAAAUGCGUAGAGAUCCGGAGGAACACCCGCGGCGAAGGCGGCCGCCUGGGCCGGCCCUGACGCUGAGGCGCGAAGGCCGGGGGAGCGAACGGG
rnacentral:rRNA from 1 species